AGGCGAGAUAACGCAGAGGUGGGGGACAGAGUGGGUGGGGAGGGGAGCCGCCAUACAGUGGCCAGGACCAGCUUUGCCCAAGUGGUGGCAACCGCAUGACCACAGGAACGAUGGCGUGAGCCCCAUGGCAACCUGGAGGAAGGGUGUGCUGGGCAGGGGAGGGCGGUGCAAAGACCCCAAGAAAGAGAGUCUGGCCCAUUGGCCAGCACGGCUGGAGUGUGGGGACAGGGCAGCAGUGUGCGGGGGAGACUGGAGUCCCAGGAGAGGCCAGGUUGCAGGGCAUUGAGGGCCAGAGGAGGCACCUGGGCCUGUUCCCUUCCCAACCCUCAGGAUGGCCCACCCAUUACCCACAGCUGCACAUGAACGUCCUUUGGCGCUGGCCUCCAGGGUGGGGAAACCAGGCUCCUGCAGAGAGGGGCAGAUCUGAGUGUUCCCCGCCCUCGCCUGGGUGCACUCAGGGUCAGGCCUUGUGCCGGCAGAGUCCAUCCCAUGCCUCAUUACCCCCGGCUGGCUGAGGCCCACCCUGGGCUCCUGGUGGGUGGGGGCACUUCUGUGAGCUCCACCACUGUGUCUGUGAGCCCAACCCCGACCAGCCCCCUCCAGCUUCUGGGGCCUGCAAGGAGGAGGAAGGCCAGGGUAGAGGGAAUGGAGAGAGACUGUUCCAUGCGGAGGGGUGAGCCACCUUCUGCGGUGGAGGCCAGGAGCAAGGAUAUGCUCUGAGCCUGGUCUGGGGCCCCUCCCCCACUUCCCACCUCCCAGCUCUUCCCUCCUAGAGACACCUUCUUUGUCUGCAGAGGCCACUGCUCUGAUUCUGUUGUUGCUAGGUGAUGGGAACUGGGGGGAGCAAAGAGUGGGGAACUGGGCAGGGUCUGGCGGGGCUGUGGUGGGGGGAGCUGAAGCAUGAAGGCUCAUGGAGCACAGACACCUACACACAGCUCUGCAGGCAUGUGGGGACCCAGACCCACCCCCACAGCAGACACCCCCACAGAGCACUCAUGGCCCCCACAGAAAUACACCCACACUCAUCACAGCAAACCAAAACAAUCACACGCUGGUACACAAACACACACACCCCCGCACCAAUCCAGGCAGACACAAAGCUCACGGCGACAGGCAGAUCUGAUUCACACAGACACAGGCACAGGUGCCUCCUGAUGCCACCCUCUCUUGGUCACGUGCCAGCACUUGGAGGGAGGAAAGUGCCUCACCAGGCUGAGAUGCCCAAGGGACCCCCCAGGGAGGGAAAGCAGGACACACAGGGACAGUUGCUUCCAGCCCUGUCCACACCCUUGUGCCCACCAGGCGAGUCUCCAGAGCCUGGAGGACAAGUUAGCCUUGCGAAGGAUAGCAGAGGACCCGGCCCAGGGGUCCCCAAAAUGGAGCACCAACCCUCCAUGCAGGCCAAGCCACUGGUGAAUAUGCUGCAAAAAAUAUGCUGGAACUUCUAUGAAUACCACAGGGUGUCAGAAGAAAACAUUAGAACUUCUAUUUUGUACCUGUCUUACUCCACAACGAGAAAGCAAUCAGCUUGAUCAAUGCCUACUGUAAAGACGGCACCGCCCUCUGGAGGUCCUUUCUCAGCCCUGGUGUUCGGACAGCCACAUCCCCUUGCAGCAGGGGGAGGCCUGAAGCAUAGAGGGGCCCACGCAGGUCUAUUCUGUUUCAGCGAAUUGCCUGGGAAAUAAUCCAGGAUCCGUUUCGUGUGGUCAUCUUGUCUCCCUGGUCCCCUCCAGCCUUUCCUCAUCUUUUGUGACCUGGUCACUCUGGAAGGGCGCUGGCCGAAGCAGAAAGUUGAGGCUUAGAAGGUGCACGGCCCUACCUCUUCUGAGGUGCCCCUGCGGGCUGUCUACAGACCAGGCAGCACAUGCCUGAUAGCAGCUGCAUAAGGAAAAGCAGAAGCCAGCUCGUGCACAGUGGCCUCAAGUGUGCACUGGGCAUGUUCUCUGCCUCACCAUCCCUGUGUGACAGAUGAAGCAUGGCAGGCCAGGCUCCAGAGAAGCAUCCUGAGGACCAGUGUUCCUAGGGACCUCAUUCUUCUGACCUCAUUCCUACAACGUUUUGUCACUGCAAAGGAAAUCACCAAGGCCAGACAAGUGAGCUCAUGGAAACCUCUCCAUUGUUGACCAGGAUCUAUAGGAAAACCCUCCUCUUCUUCUAUAUGCAAAGGCUGCACAGCUCCUGGUUCACCUGCACCUCUCCAGACCACCAUGGUGCCUGCAGCUCUGAGGGCAUUUUAAAUCAUCACAGAACAACAAGCAUAUAAGCAUUAUGAGUGCCUCUGGACCUCUGACGUGCCUUGUGGAGGCCUGCCAGGCCCACGUUUUAAUUUACAUGAACUCGAUGCCCUUUUUGACAGGGAGAGAUCUGCUUCUUUAUUUGUUAGCCUUUGCCCUGGACCUGCUAGAUCUGGACCAUCCCCAGGAAAGGAAGGUCACACCACAAAGAUAAAUAUAAACAAAAUGAGUUAAUUAAGAAGGAGUUAGUCUGAAAUUCAAUAUUCCCAAGAGUCCAAGCCCUUCAGUUCUAAGGGAAUUUUUCUCCCCUGUAAAAUAGAACUGUUGGGUACAGUGAGAUUCCAUUGUAUAUGGUCUCACUUAGAAUUUGUCUCAUUUCACAUAUGCAAACACUGAGGCUCUGUGAGGUGAGAGAUUUGCUGCACUAGGCCCUGAAAGGCACAGCCAGUGAGCAUUCAGCCCAGGGUACAUCUGCUGGCUUCACAGUUGCCCUGCUAUUCUGUGGUCCAAUGUGGCUGCUCUAGCUCCAGUCAUCACAUCUGCAUUCUUGCCAGUGGGAAGGGCAAAGCAUGACCUUUCUUUUUAAGACACGUUUGAAGUUGCAUACAUCAUUUCUGCUCAUGUUUCACUGGCCAGCAUUUAAACGGAUGGGCAUACCUAGCUGCAGGGAAGGCUGUAGUCUUCAUUCUGGGAUGAAGUGUACCCAGCUAAAAGUCUAGGGUUUUAUUUCUAUGAGAGAAAUUGAGCAUGGAUACUGGGGGACAAUGAACCAUUUCCACUUCAUCUUCUAAUAAAUGUGACAAGUGCAAUGCUUAUCA